rnacentral:rRNA from 1 species
GACGAACGCUGGCGGCGUGCUUAACACAUGCAAGUCGAGCGAACAGACGCGGCGCUUGCUGGUCUGACGUUAGGGGAGGACGGGGGAGUAACACGUGGAUACUGCACCUAUAAGAGUGAGAUAAUCUCGGGACAGCGGCGCCAAUACGGGAUAAUAUAUUGAACCGUAUGGUUCGAUAGCGAAAGACGGUUUUGGUGGCUCGUAUAGAUGGAUCCGGGCCGCAUUAGCUGGUUGGUACGGUCACGGCUUUCCACGGCAACGAUGCGUAGCCGAGUGGAGAGGGGGAUCGGCGGCACUGGAACUGGACCACGGUCCAGACUCCUGCGGGAGGGAGCAGUAGGGGAUCUUCCGCAGUGGGCGGAAGCCUGACGGAACGACGCGGCGUGAGAGAUAGAGGUCUUCGGGUCGUGAGACUGUGUUAUUGGUUAAGAACAGAUGUGUAAGUAACUAUGCACGUCUUGACGGUAACUGGUCAAAAAGCCACGGCUAACUACGUG